UUUUUUUCGUGUACCUGUGCGUUUGUUCCCGCCGUUUCUAGGUGUGGCCCCUAGUGACCAUAGUUUCCGGUGUGGGUAUGUUGGCGCUAGCUGCGAUGGGUUGGACGGCCUACAGUAAGGUUGAUGUAGUUUUUGACAAAAGUCACGAACCGGCGUUGAACGAGGUGCCUUUGGACAGACCUACGCAAAAGCUGCUUACAAUAAACCAGACGUACAAAGACAUCCCGGAGGUUCACGUCAUGGAAGAAAUUGAGAAGGACGAGCACUGAAAAGUCCCUGCGAGGUUGCACAUAAUCGCCAGGUGGUGCCCGUGAGUGGUGAAGCUGCGUCAUGCUUUGUGAUCAGUACGCUAAAGCGGCCAUGGGUGUUUUCAAAUAUCUAUAGUGAUUGUAACACUUAUCGCCCAAGAUUUGGAAAGACGCUGAGGAUGUAAAACAACAUUAAAACAAAAAAUAAGAAUAUAUGAACAUUUUGAUAGACACACGUGUAUUAUGAUGAUAUAUAGAAGGAUGAAUAUUGCAUUAUCUACUGAACGUUGACUUCAUAGUCAACUACAAAUGUAAAACAUGUGACUGAAUGUUUAUGGCGUUUUUUUUUUAAUUGCCAGUGUCUUUCCAAUCUAAGAGUGAUUCUAGUGUUCCAUCAUUGAGUAUUUCACUCAGAGAGCAACUACAUGAUGCACAGCAGACCUAGAAUAUUUUAUCAGAGUUAGAAGGACCAGAACUUAGAGGGACAUUCUACUCCAGAAGGCAGUGUUACUAGGCGAUAGAUAAUGAUAUUUGGAAUUAAUAAAUGUAUUCUAUUUCACAUAUAAAUAUAGGAUAUAAAGUUAUUACUACUCAUAAAGGUAUAUCCAGUCUUCUACAAAACUCCUCAAGUACUUUCUGAUGAAAUUAAUCUAUCUCACAAUUCUCAGUCUAUGGCUUGACAACGCCUGACUCAAUUUAGGUUACAAAACUAAAAAAAAUAUCAUGUUAUGUUGUCUUCGAUAUCUUACGCGCAAUAUGCCCUCUUUGUAUGAUUAUCACUCCUUAUAUAUUGCGAGAACAUAUACGAUAAAGGAAGUGCACUGGGUUUAGCGAGUGAUCAUUUAAAAAUGAUCGCGUAAUUCACCACAAGUGGAAAUCCAAGAAAGAGCUGCUGAAAUUUAUGCAUUCACUAAUACAUCAUAUAUCAUUAAAAAAAAUAACAGCCCCUUCUGGAGUGGAAUGCCUCUUUAACCCAGAGGUCCAAGUCAUCUAUCUGCCAAUGAAGAGUUUUAUUUGUAAGAUUCUGUCCAAGUUGAGCUAUUUUACAAGGCCGUAGACCAUAUUUGUUUCCAAACUGAAGUUGAAGAGAAGCAUAUUAUUAAGCAGUUGGACCAAGAAAGGGACUAAAAGGAGUAAAAAUUAAGUGCUGUUAGUGAUUUGAGGGUUUAUAAAAGGAAUAAAGGGAUAGGACUGUUUAAUGGACAAACGAGUAUUACGUCUACAAGUGCGAGCGUCACCACCCCCAGAACAUGCCAGUAUAGUCUUCUUAAAGAUUGUGGGCAUCAAUGGGAAGAAGAAGAAGAAGACAUACGGAAGAAACAGGGAUGCCAAUCUGGACACAAAUCCAGCUCAAGGUAUAAGAUUAUAAACUAUAUAGCUAUAUCUGGGGAGAAGCAAACCAUCAGUAUUGGUAGAAGGAAUGGCACAUUUUUGGUGAGUUAAAAGUGAGAUUUUUUUGGCAUGUACUGAUAACAAGAGAACUGUGUGGAUAUCGUAUAGCGUAUCUAGUUUGGACACAUUUAUCCAUACAUUCAUAUGAGUCGUGACUUAAGAGUAAAUGUUUAUUUUCGUAUCAUGGAAGAUA